AGCUGGGGCGCCCACGAGAGGAUCCCUCACCCGGGUCUCUCCUCAGGGAUGACAUCAUCCGUCCACCUCCUUGUCUUCAAGGACCACCUCCUCUCCAUGCUGAGCUGCUGCCAAGGGGCCUGCUGCCCAUCUACACCUCACGAGGGCACUAGGAGCACGGUUUCCUGGAUCCCACCAACAUACAAAGCAGCCACUCACUGACCCCCAGGACCAGGAUGGCAAAGGAUGAAGAGGACCGGAACUGACCAGCCAGCUGUCCCUCUUACCUAAAGACUUAAACCAAUGCCCUAGUGAGGGGGCAUUGGGCAUUAAGCCCUGACCUUUGCUAUGCUCAUACUUUGACUCUAUGAGUACUUUCCUAUAAGUCUUUGCUUGUGUUCACCUGCUAGCAAACUGGAGUGUUUCCCUCCCCAAGGGGGUGUCAGUCUUUGUCGACUGACUCUGUCAUCACCCUUAUGAUGUCCUGAAUGGAAGGAUCCCUUUGGGAAAUUCUCAGGAGGGGGACCUGGGCCAAGGGCUUGGCCAGCAUCCUGCUGGCAACUCCAAGGCCCUGGGUGGGCUUCUGGAAUGAGCAUGCUACUGAAUCACCAAAGGCACGCCCGACCUCUCUGAAGAUCUUCCUAUCCUUUUCUGGGGGAAUGGGGUCGAUGAGAGCAACCUCCUAGGGUUGUUGUGAGAAUUAAAUGAGAUAAAAGAGGCCUCAGGCAGGAUCUGGCAUAGAGGAGGUGAUCAGCAAAUGUUUGUUGAAAAGGUUUGACAGGUCAGUCCCUUCCCACCCCUCUUGCUUGUCUUACUUGUCUUAUUUAUUCUCCAACAGCACUCCAGGCAGCCCUUGUCCACGGGCUCUCCUUGCAUCAGCCAAGCUUCUUGAAAGGCCUGUCUACACUUGCUGUCUUCCUUCCUCACCUCCAAUUUCCUCUUCAACCCACUGCUUCCUGACUCGCUCUACUCCGUGGAAGCACGCUCACAAAGCUCCUUCACUCUCUAGCAGCUGCUGGGGCCCACCUCCCAUGCCGAGGACCAGCAGGGGAAACCUCCAGGGAGCAUCUGCAGGCUCUGCUUCUGCCCGGCUGCUGGCUUGCUCUCCCUGGUGGCUCUCCAGCGGCCAGCUUCCUCACCCACCCGGCACUCCGCUUUGCUCUGUCUCCUGAGGCACGUGGGCCGUGGCCCGGCUGGGUCGGCUGAAGAACUGCGGAUGGAAGCUGCGGAAGAGGCCCUGAUGGGGCCCACCAUCCCGGACCCAAGUCUUCUUCCUGGCGGGCCUCUCGUCUCCUUCCUGGUUUGGGCGGAAGCCAUCACCUGGAUGCCUACGUGGGAAGGGACCUCGAAUGUGGGACCCCAGCCCCUCUCCAGCUCGAAAUCCCUCCACAGCCACGGGGACACCCUGCACCUAUUCCCACGGGACAGGCUGGACCCAGAGACUCUGGACCCGGGGCCUCCCCUUGAGUAGAGACCCGCCCUCUGACUGAUGGACGCCGCUGACCUGGGGUCAGACCCGUGGGCUGGACCCCUGCCCACCCCGCAGGAACCCUGAGGCCUAGGGGAGCUGUUGAGCCUUCAGUGUCUGCAUGUGGGAAGUGGGCUCCUUCACCUACCUCACAGGGCUGUUGUGAGGGGCGCUGUGAUGCGGUUCCAAAGCACAGGGCUUGGCGCACCCCACUGUGCUCUCAAUAAAUGUGUUUCCUGUCUUAACAAAAACUG
ensembl:lncRNA MEG3 maternally expressed 3